rnacentral:rRNA from 1 species
ACGGGUGAGUAAUGCCUAGGAAUCUGCCUGGUAGGGGGGGAUAACGUUCGGAAACGGACGCUAAUACCGCAUACGUCCUAGGGGAAAAAGCAGGGGACCUUCGGGCCUUGCGCUAUCAGAUGAGCCUAGGUCGGAUUAGCUAGUUGGUGAGGUAAUGGCUCACCAAGGCGACGAUCCUUAACUGGUCUGAGAGGAUGAUCAGUCUCCCUGGAACUGAGACACGGUCCAAACUCCUACGGGAGGCAGCAGUGGGGAAUAUUGGACAAUGGGCGAAAGCCUGAUCCACCCCUGUCGCGUGUGUGAAGAAGGUCUUCGGAUUGUAAAGCACUUUAAGUUGGGAGGAAGGGUUGUAGAUUAAUACUCUGCAAUUUUGACGUUACCGACAGAAUAAGCACCGGCUAACUCUGUGCCAGCAGCCGCGGUAAUACAGAGGGUGCAAGCGUUAAUCGGAAUUACUGGGCGUAAAGCGCGCGUAGGUGGUUUGUUAAGUUGGAUGUGAAAUCCCCGGGCUCAACCUGGGAACUGCAUUCAAAACUGACUGACUAGAGUAUGGUAGAGGGUGGUGGAAUUUCCUGUGUAGCGGUGAAAUGCGUAGAUAUAGGAAGGAACACCAGUGGCGAAGGCGACCACCUGGACUAAUUACUGACACUGAG